UACGUAGGGGGCGAGCGUUGUCCGGAUUCAUUGGGCGUAAAGCGCGCGUAGGCGGCUCCGCAAGUCGGCCGUGGAAUCUCCGGGCUCAACUCGGAGGGGUCAGCCGAUACUGCGGGGCUAGAGUGCAGAAGGGGCAACUGGAAUUCUCGGUGUAGCGGUGAAAUGCGUAGAUAUCGAGAGGAACACCUGCGGCGAAGGCGGGUUGCUGGGCUGACACUGGCGCUGAGGCGCGAAAGCUAGGGGAGCGAACGGG
rnacentral:rRNA from 1 species